rnacentral:rRNA from 1 species
AGAGAUGUGUGAUGACGCAUAUCAAUAAGCGGAGGAAAAGAAACUAACAAGGAUUCCCUUAGUAACGGCGAGUGAAGCGGGAAGAGCUCAAAUUUGAAAUCUUCAAGGUUCUACCUUGACGAAUUGUAGUUUAUAGAAGUGUUUUCUGUUAGUAGAGUGGCAAAAGUUCUUUGGAAUAGGACAUCAUAGAGGGUGAGAAUCCCGUAUUUGGUCAUUCUUUCUAGCUUUGUGAUACACUUUCAACGAGUCGGAUUGUUUGGGAAUGCAGUCCAAAAUGGGUGGUAAAUUUCAUCUAAAGCUAAAUAUUGGCGAGAGACCGAUAGCGAACAAGUACCGUGAGGGAAAGAUGAAAAGAACUUUGAAAAGAGAGUUAAACAGUACGUGAAAUUGUCAAAAGGGAAGCGUUUGACACCAGUGUUGUUUUUCCGAAAAUCAAUUACGAAUGUUUUAUUUUUAAGGAGUUAUGACUUCAUCGGCUUGCUUCUUUCUUUACGAAACUUUCUUAAUGCACUUUUCGGUUAACAAGUCAACAUCAAUUUCUUUUGUUGUAAAAGGGUAUGAGGAAGGUGGCUUUCUUUUCGGAGAAAGUGUUUAUAGCCUUGUACCUCUGCAAUCGGAGAGAUUGAGGUCUGCAGCGUAGAUCCUUCGGGGUUAGAUACAUUUGUGCUAAGUUAUAGCUUUUCAUAGACAACUUGUUGACUAUGUUUAGUCUUGUAGCUUACUCGCUUAUGCUAUUUUACCUACGCUUAGGAUGUUGACAGCAGUAUAGACUGU